rfam:Corchorus olitorius cultivar O-4 contig16425, whole genome shotgun sequence.
GUUGAUGGGAAUGUUGUUUGGCUCGAGGUCAUGUAGGUUGAUUUUGUCAUGUCCAUGAAAUUUUCUAGGAUUUUACUUUCCCGGGAAAGUUUCUGGAUAGCCCUAUAUGAUCUCGGACCAGGCUUCAUUCCCGUCAAC